rnacentral:misc_RNA from 1 species
GUGAAUCAUCGAAUUUUUGAACGCAAAUUGCACUCUCCGGUUUUCCGGGAGAGUAUGCCUGUUUGAGGUUCGUUAGAAUAAAUAAUUUAGGCGUCGCUCUUUUUUUUGAGGGUGAUCGCUUCUGAUUUGAGCCGUGUUUUAAAUGUUAAUUCAUUUCAUAUUUGUUUAAAAUUUAUCCAUCCGGUACUAUUAAUGCUUAUUUAAGUUCAAUUAUGAUUAAAAACGCACGAGAUGGGACCAUAUCAUGUAGUACGGUGGAUCUGGGU